CUUGUCAUACCUCCUUUGAAUAGCAAUGACUGGAUGACAAAGAAGUAAAGAAUAUUCUGUCUCACUACUUGGUCCUGCAUAGAGAGAAGAAAGGAAAAGGAGUAAAGAAAAUGCCAUCAAUAGAAUUAAAAGCAACGAAGAAGGAGAAGAAGAAGAAGGAGGAGGAGGAGAAGGAGGAGAAAAAUCAAUUAGAAAGUUUGGAUAAAAA
rnacentral:lncRNA from 1 species